AAAAUUUGAAGCCCAGUAUACAUUAACCUAGCUAUAUAUAUCACCCUUAGUAAGAUUAGUGAGCAAACCCUAGCCGUUUCCAAAUACAAUUAUUUGUCUCUGUUUUUCUCUCUGAUUCAGAAACUCAACAAGAUUCAGUAUUCAGAAGAACUAAAUACUUAUUCUGAGAUGAAGAAUAUGAAGUUAAUUUCAAAAUGAAGAGGUUGUUAGAAAGAAACCCCUAUAACCUUUAACCAAGAUUGAAGAAAUUGUCAACAAGAUUGCUGCUGGUUUUUUGCUCUCCAUCAGAGAAGCAAUUUGGGAAUGUUGGGAAUAUCUGGCCUUUGAAUGAAAUUACAGACUCUGAAUUUUUAUGGAAUUUUUAUGAUAUAACCAUGGACAGUGUGAAAUUCCUUUGACAUGAACAGUGUGAAAUACAUCCUCAAAAUAGAAUUAUUAAAAUGUUAUAAAUGAAUUAAAAAUGUUAUAAAUAGAUUAA